UAAGUAAAUAAAUCAGACUGUUUUUAUUCUGGUUCAGAUCACCGAUGUGGUUCCUAGUCCAGUACCCUUGGGUUUCAAGAGUUUCCUUAAGAGCUUGUUGAAAACUUGGGUGUUACAGAAUGUUACGAUUAAAAGCUCGUCUAAUAUGCAAAUCAGACCUUCUUCUCUGACACAACCUCUACCUGUAUAACAUACACUCAGAUAUUUCUUUUUCUUUUCUUUAUAUUUGUUCACUCAAAGGUGUACAAAGUUUUAUGAAAGAUAACAAAAGAUUACAAUAUAAGUUCAAAAGAAGUGUGUACUUCACAACUAUGGUUAAGAGAGGAUUAUAUAGAGUGGACGACUGCUGCUCUAUUAUGGAAAUCCAAGGGUUUUCAAAUCAAGAAUCCCUCGAUUAAAUCCUUGAUUGAUUUUAUGAAUCAUGCCCAUAUCAAAUAUGUCCAUGAUUAAAUCAAUUCCUUUCUUUGUUAGAUGAUCUCCCUGAAUCUUGCUUGAUAAUGGUUGAUAUCCGCAAUCUGACAAAUAUAUUAUUUCCUUGAUGAACAAAUUUGCUCGUUCCCAAGUGUUUGUGCAGAUUGAUUGAGAUCCCUUGCCAUUCGUGUGUUGAUCUCUCUUUCCUGAUUGAUUUCCUUUUUGGAAUGAUGGAUGAUUGAAUCAAUCUUUUAGAUUGAUUGUGUAUUGAUCCAUUUCCAUGGUUGAUGCAGAUUGUGAGUUCAAUCUAUUCCUUGAUUAGUGUGAUCCUUCUUCAUGUACCUUCUUUUGAUUUUCUGCGAUAUGAAUUCAGUUUACAUUAUUCAAAAUACCAUAAGUUAACAUUUAUUUGAUUAAGAGGUUAUCCUCCACUAUUCUUAAAGAAGAGGCUCGUCAUAAUUUAUUGUACCAUGUCUUUUUUUCCCUUGAUCAUUUAAGGGUGCUUGAUUGUUUUGUGUUUGAUACUAAGGUAAUAAAGGUUGACAAAUUCCCUCAAGAGAUAUUAUAGUUGUGUUUAUUGGGUACUCUAGUCUCCAAAAAAGAUACGAACUUAAUAUUUUGCACACAAAGGAGUUUUUGUGAGUAGAAAUGUUGUCUUUAAGGAGACUGUAUUUCCAUUUAAGCACAAUAUCACUUCUUGUUCUUCUUUAUUUCAUGUUCUUCUGUUCACCAAGGAUCACACCACUCCUUCUUCAUCUCUGUAGACUCAGUUGCAUGUAGUGACGAAGUUCUAGUUGAGUCUCCUUAAUUACACCAGUAUAGUUCUGGAGUCCAAUACUGCUCAUAUAAGCUUGUCUUCUAAUGAUGGUACUAUAACCGAGUCCACUGUCCUGGAUAGAUCUUUAGACUAAGUAAACCUCCUAUAUAUGGAUGCAUGAUCUUCUUCCUACUUAACCUAAAUAUCAUUAUCUUUUUUAUCUCCGAUUAUGUGAGUUAUGCAUUCCUUUUUAUAUCAUACUGUAAAGAUCUAGCUACUUAUUUUGGGAUCUCUAAGCCCACAUCUUUUAGCUUCUCAUCCUCAAUGGAUUGAACCACUAAAUGUUGAAAUUGCUGUUUUUGCGGAGAACCAUAAUUGGAUCAUUAUUGAGCUUUCUCCUUGUAAGUAACCCAUUGGCUAUAAAUAGGUGUUUAAGGUGAAGUAUAUUGAGAGGUAUAAGACAAAACCAAUUUCCAAAGGUUUUAGUUACAAAGAAGGUAUUUGGACUACACAUAGACUUUUUCUCUAGUUGCAGAGAUGAUUGUUCCGAGGUAAAUCUUGGUUGUGGCUAUUGCUAAACACUAACUUAUUUUUCAAAUGGAUGUUCACAAUUCCUUCUUACAGGAUGAUAUUUUUAAAAAUGUGUGUAUUGUUGUAGCACCUAGUUUUUAUAAACAAGGUAGAUCUAGCAAAUUCUACAAAUUACACAAGUUUUUUUAUAGACUCAAGCAAGCACCAGGACAGUUGAACCUGAAGUUAACUCAAACGAUGAUUCAGUUGAGAUAUGUUCAAACCUAUUUUUUUUUAUCUAGAAAGUUGAUAAAAAAUUUGUAGUGGUUUUUGUAUACGUGGAUUAUCUCCUUGUAGCUGGAAGUUACUUGUUAAGACCAAGAAUGAUUUGAAGCUCAAGCUCAAAAUGAAGGAUGUGAGUGAAUUGAAAUUUUUCUUUGAUAUUGAGUUUGCUAGAUCUAAGGAAGGAAAUGUUAUGAACCAGCGCAAAUAUACCUUGAAAUUUAUCUC